UAAGCAUGCAGCCUAAAACUUUCUGUGAGCAAUGUAUCUUCUUGUCUCAUUAUUUGUGUAUGGUGUGUAGAUUUAUAACAUAGGUAUCUCUGCCCAUGUCUAGCGGUCAUGGGUUCGAAUCCCAUGACUAGCAGAGUAAAUGACACUGAAAGUAACCCAGCAUUAGCCUACAUGCUGUAUGAGUGCUGGAGGCUGGUUGACAUGUUUUCCUCACUUGGAUGUCACUUUGGACACAAGCCUCUGUUGAACAAUGAAUGGCAAUAAGGCGGGUGUUUGAUGGUGAGAGAUGCUGGCUGACCAUCGGAGAAAAACCUUAGAAAAGAGAACUAAACCUGGCGCGGCAGGGCCUGUCAUUACAGAGAUCCGGCUCUGACGGCGGAUCGACGCCAUAAUAGCGGAGAUAAUCCGGACGCUCUGCGAUCGCAGGCUGUUCAGAUUUAAUCAGAGAGAGCGGAGACGGGCGCCUGAGGACAGGCGGCUCGCAGUGUCUCCGCGGAGCGUGUCGCGCGCCGCCAGCUCGCGGUAACACGACGCGUGACUAACGCACCGGACGGGAAAGCGAGACGCGCGAGACCGGGCGGCUGCCGACGCCCGCGCGCUUAAUCAGACCUCAGUAUAAAGCGCGCGAGACACCAUCAGUCAAUGAAAUUAAGCGAAAAUCCGCGCAGUCUGGCAGCCGCGUGCCAUUAGUCAGCUGUGUCACCUAAUUUAAUAUGAAAUUGCAUUUCCUGCAGUUAAUUGUGAUUCCUGUCACAACUUGUGACUUACGUCACUCGUCAAAAUGCAGUAAAGGCUGUGCAGAGAAUGGAAGUCCAAAAUGGGAACAACUCUACCACCAAGACACAUGCAGAAGUGAUUCUCACCUGCCAGAUGGGGUCUCUCUCCUGUGGAAAGAUCUGGAAGUACCUCUGGGCCAGCUGCACAGGCGGUAGAGUCUGUAGCUUCAGGUUGCUCCAGGUCUGGAUGAACUUCACCAGGUUCUUGAAGGUGUACAGGCCCAGCCGGUCAUUCCCGUAAUUCGACAGCGGAAAUCCAGGAGCCUGCCCUCUGUGCCUCCCACCUCCUCUGUGCCUCCCACCUCCUCUGUGCCUCCCACCUCCUCUGUGCCUCCCACCCGCUAAGGCCCCAAACUGGCCGAGCGCCACCCAGGGAGAGUGAAGGCCUGACAGCGGCUUGGUGUCCGACUCGCAAGGCGGGAAAGAGCACAAGACGCUACUCACCACUGACAACAUCCCCCCCCAAGCCAGGCGGUUGGCACAGAUCCGCCUCACCCGCAGCCCACCUACCCCUCCUGCUGCCAGGACUGGGCCCAGCCCAUCAUCGGGGACGCUGGCUUCCCAGCUCCCCGCCUCUUCACACCCCUGCCCUCUGCGGCUACGAGACAAAGGACCCGAGAGAUUUAUGGAGGAGACAAAGAUUUGCUGGGAAAUAUACACCAUUGUGGUGGAUAACUCACAAACAGAAGGAGCAGUCGGAGUCAGUGAAUUGCUACUUAAUUAACCAUAUGUGGCCAUAGCAGACUUCACCAUCACUUCUCACGAGCGUAGUGAUUCUCCUUUGCCAUUUAUGGUCAAAAUAAUUUAUCUGCUUAUCCAAUGAAGGGUCACGCUGAGCCUACAGAAUCAGUCUGGGUAUGACCCUGGGAAGGAUGCCAGCUCAUCGCGGGUUCAGUUCAUCGCCUGAACCACACGGCUUUCAAGCUGUGGAAGGAAACCAGGAGAACUCAGAGGAGACCCACAUGGCCACAGACACGACACACGGGGCGGGGGUGGGAGUCAAACCCACAUCCCUGGAUGCGUGAGGUCAGAGUACUACUGCUGUGCCAAAAAUCAGACCUCGUUUAUGGUUUAACCGCAGCGCACUGCAACUAAAGGCGCAGGAAAAUACAAGGUCAACAUGCAGGAAAACCUGGGCGUGUGUUUUGGGGCGUGUUACAGACCUCUAUCCCUCCAAGAACAAAAAAAAAAAAAAAAAAACGACUGGUGACCAGUGUGACUACCGCUGGGACCAUCAGACCGGAACCGAAUGAGCUGCCGCUCCCUCUGAGCCGGUCCGAAGCACCGCUGAGAUAUUCCGACUCGCCAUUAAUUCUGCCUAAAUCCACCUUCCUGCCAGACAAUACAGAGGAUCGCCGUGAGUCCCCAUCUGCUCUCGCUGGAAGGACAGAACUUGCGUUACUUUGCACGCCGUGACCUUCCCUCGAAGCGGAGAGGAGCAGCGGAGGGCGGCCCUUUCACCCCUCGGCCGGGGACCUUGGGAGUGACUCCCUCUGCAUUGCCCCCAUCGCCUGCAUGCGUUUAAUCAGCUUCUGCAAAAGCCACCGCGGAGUCGGUCUCAAUAACACGGUCCCCGGCAAGGAUGACUUGUUUUUCCAUCUUUUCACUCUAGGACAAGCAAAAAAACGCAAGCAUCUGCAUUUACCGCGAGCGAGACGAGUGUUGAUUAUAAGAUAUUUCAGUAAAAUGAGCUGUGAAAACAACAAUAACUCUCGAUUUAUGGCUACUCGUGUUAAGGCAUUUGCGGUUCUGCUCUCAAGGCAGAGACGGAUAAACAACUUCAGGCGGUCAUAUCACUCAUAUCUGCUUACGCUUAUACCACCCAAAAUGGAUGCCUUCCAGCCUAGAUUUCUCUGACUAAUAAUGUUGAAUAAUUUGGUGCGACUGCAUAAGAUGAUUCUGACAAACCCUGCCGAUAAACACACAAAUGUGGCCGAAAGGUUGAUGCGGCAGACAAUGAAAUUCGGGUGACACAAAAGUCAAA